UGAACACUUGAAAUACACAAGAAGACUAUAACCUAUGUCAGUAUUGCAUUAUGGAAGCAUCUUUUUGAUCCAGAAGAUAUGAGACUGUGAGCACAGAUAUUCACCUUGUAUGUCAGUACCACGUGUAUUUUAAAAUGAGCUCAAAGGGAAGAG
rnacentral:lncRNA from 12 species